UGAUGAUAGGGAGGAGGAGUACGAUACGAGCAUGUAUCAUUUCAGUGAGCACGUACCUCCAGCGCGGAAGAGCAAGAGCUUGAGCGAAACUCACAGAAACAACAGUAAGUUGCAGAGGUGGAGCGUACCUCCUAAGUUGCACAAAAACAACGUACCUCUAGUUACAGUGAUAUCA
rnacentral:pre_miRNA from 1 species